AACUGUAAACAUAAAUAAAUGAAAAGAGGUGUGGUCUAAUGCAACAAUGUUUUAUUUAUUGAUAAGAUUUUCCUUUUUUUUUCUUUUUCUUUAGAAAAAAUAGUAACUUUUUUCUAUAAUUAAAAUUGAGAUGCUUACAGCCAAAAGGUCUAAAACAAAAUCAUUAAAACUAAUACGAAUGAGGAGGUCUAACAAGAUAAUUAGAAGUGGGAAAAAAACAAAAGAAGUGAAUGGUUUUAGUGUAGUUUAUAGCUGAUUUAAGGCAUGGGUCAAAAAUGACCCGUUACCAAAAGCCUUAGUAACAGAAAGAAACACAAGAGGACGGUCAUUUGUCUAAAAUAAACUCACGUUAGCAAACAUAAAUAUGCUUUAGGUUUUUAAAGUGCCUUACAAGAACUCAUACAAGAACUUUAAUUUUCACCUGAAAGUUGGUAAAAGAAACAAAAACAAAUACAUAUAAAUUUAACGUUAUUAACAAAAACACUGCAUUGUGUACUAAAAUACUGCCUAAACUGUAACUGCGACCCGCUUCACAUAUUUUUUGAAUAUUUUUAGUUUCGUUUUGGUUUAAGAUUCCCUCAUGGAGGUUGGUGAUGUUCAUGAUCCAGGUUCAAAUAAAUGUUCUCAGUGCAGUCUCAGCGCCACCUACAGGACUCCUAAAGUCUACAAGGAAACAGGAAGUGUCACACAGGAAGUGCUCUACAUGACACACUAAAGAAGGCUCCUCAGCUCAGUUGCUCAUCCUUCACCAUCUGUACGGACUGAUCAUCCAUCUUCCUGAGCUUAAACACUCAAAGCCUCUCCCCGAUAUGGCGAGCGGAGACCUUUUGAGCGCCACAAUGGUGCAUUUCCACGGCGGAGCAGCAACCUGACACACCGUAAAGUACUUGUGAAAAGCCCUCCAAAUACACGAGGAGUCGGCGGGGAAAUGGAGGAGGCUGCAGAUAAGAGUCGACUUGUAAAACAUAAUUAUAUUCCCGUCGGCGGGGAGAGCGCCGCCUUGAAAGGGAAGCGUUUAACCUGGGAUUCAUGCAUGGAGACGAGCCGAGCAGUUGAACUGUGGAGGGAGACGGAUUACAUCCUUUUACUUUGAAAGGACGGUGGAAAAGGUCUGCUGGAAUUAAAAAAGCCGGCGAGCAGGUUCGGGUCGGAGGAAUUCCCAGCAAAGUUAAAGGUUAAACGUGUCGACGGCGUUUCGUGCCACCGCGCCGGAAAACCUUCUUCCUGCUUAUUUUUAACCCUCCAUACUGGAUUUAUUCAUUCAGUUUCCUGCUUCUUGUUUAAAUUUAUUCACAAAAGGCCUCGUUUUCACAAAGUGCUGAUGAGUAUCGACGCAUUGUAUGAGCGCGGGGUAUUUCGAUGGGAAAAAAACACGACUUUUAUCAGAUUAUAAGACAAAAUAAAAAGCGUAAAGUAGGGUUUGUCCUGCGGGCCGGACCUCGUCUUCUCCUGGACUCUGCGUGCUCUGCUUACCUUUGGGGUUUCCGUGUAUUUUGGCGCGGCGGUAAACACGGGGGACAGCUUUCCCAGGCACCCCCCCGCCCCUCGCCCUACCAUUGAUACUCAACCGCAGAGUCGCCGCUCCACUUCCUGUCAGGAUAUCUGCCGGCUGGAUUCCUGCCGCGUCCCGCACACACACGGUUGAUGCAGUUCAGGUUUUGAUGGAAACGUGGAGCUAAAACUCCAAAAUGUUGAUAUAUGGAAUAGAUGCGACACUUCCCUUCAGAUCCCAACAUAAGCUUAAGUCCCGUGCACCUACACCGUGGUAGACCCUUAGGCUCCAUUCACUGCAACCAAUAAAUUACCAAAAAAAACUAUUUUUGCUCCUCAAUAUUCAUUGUUUUGUGAGUCCAACACCCUCUCACCCCUUACUCGUCACAUAUUGGCAUUAAGGACCCCUCCGCGUCAAGAAAUGACGGUUUUAGUGUACCCACCUCGUCGUUUUUUCACGACCUGGCUCGCCAGAAUUAGGGGCCGCAAACUUUUGGGUCAGGAACCGGAACCGAUCCAGUACCAGGAUCCGUAGUGCACCAGUACCCUAACCCAGUAACAGUACCCUAACCCC